AGUAGUUUGAUCCUGGCUCAGAACGAACGCUGGCGGCAUGCCUAACACAUGCAAGUCGAACGAGACCUUCGGGUCUAGUGGCGCACGGGUGCGUAACGCGUGGGAAUCUGCCCUGGGGUGCGGAAUAACUCGGAGAAAUCCGUGCUAAUACCGCAUAAUGUCUUCGGACCAAAGAUUUAUCGCCCUGGGAUGAGCCCGCGUAGGAUUAGCUAGUUGUGGGGUAAAGGCCUACCAAGGCGACGAUCCUUAGCUGGUCUGAGAGGAUGAUCAGCCACACUGGGACUGAGACACGGCCCAGACUCCUACGGGAGGCAGCAGUGGGGAAUAUUGGACAAUGGGCGAAAGCCUGAUCCAGCAAUGCCGCGUGAGUGAUGAAGGCCCUAGGGUUGUAAAGCUCUUUUACCCGGGAUGAUAAUGACAGUACCGGGAGAAUAAGCUCCGGCUAACUCCGUG
rnacentral:rRNA from 1 species